rnacentral:lncRNA from 10 species
UAUAAAUGAAUGGAGAGAGCUAUGAAGAGGUUGAGAGAAUACAGCCAAGGCACAUGACAGAAUUGCUCUGUUGAAGUUUUGCAAGGUCAAAUGACUCACUUUGUCUAAUGGAACGGGAACGAACAAUUUUUUUGUGUCACGUUUGAACAGAUACCUUUGAGAAGUUUAUGAUUCUCCAAGUUCUCUUUCUCCUACUGUGGCACCUACUGACAAGAUAAAUGUGUAGAGGUUCCUGAGUCUAGGGGCACUGGAACCAGCUGACUGAUCUAUGGAAGUUCCCU